GACGAACGCUGGCGGCGUGCUUAACACAUGCAAGUCGAACGAGUGGCGAACGGGUGAUUCACACGUGGUUGAUCUGCCUUUCACUUCGGGAUAAUCUUUGGUCACUGGGUCUAAUACCGGCUAGUGCAAGAUGAGCUUGAGGCCUAUGUGCUUGUUGGUGGGGUAAUGGCUACCAAGGCGCGACGGGUAGCCGGCCUGAGAGGGUGUACGGCCACAGUGGGACUGAGAGACAGCCCAGACACAUACGGGAGGCAGGAGUGGGGAAUAGUGCAAAAUGGGCGGAAGCAUGAUGAAGCGAAGCAGGGUGGGGAAGGAAGGGCUUGGGGUUGUAAACUCGUUUAGACAGGAAAGCGGUAAGUGGAAAAAAAGCAACGGCUAACUACGUGCCAGCAGCCGCGGUAAUUC
rnacentral:rRNA from 1 species